UAUAUAGGAAUUUCUUUCUUCUAUUUACUCCUACCCAUAAAAAAAAGUUGAAGAGAUGGGUUGUUAGAGCAUACAAAAUGAAAGCAUAGAGCUUUGGGGUUGUUGUUUGCCUGUUUGUGUCUUGGGUCAUUCCCAGAUAGCAGGUUUUCAAGGGCGCCCGAUGUUUUAUCUAACACUGAGAGCUGGGUUGUCUUCCCUCCCCUCUGAGGAUCUUUUAUGAUCACCUUCUGGAAGCCCCUGCCCCUUGAGUCUACAGCAGAGAAAAACCAGAAACAGGGGCUGGCCUUUCAGGGAUAAGCCAGCCACUGGGCCAGGCACUAGAUAUCAAUGCCUUUCCACCUGAGAUUAUAGUACUAUUCAAAGUUAGCUGAAUUUCCUGGUCCUACAACAUGCAAAACUGUGGGUAAUGAGCUGUUGUACCCACUACUGUGAGGCAGAGUGCUUCUGACCUGGAGAGAAGGAAGCUUAUGCUAAAAAUUCACUGCAGUACAGUCUGCAAUGAGAUCCCUUAUGAAGCCACUUCCUCAUUCAACUUUGCUUUCAGGGAAAAAAACAGAGUCCUAUGGAUUAAAGCAGUGAUUCACGAAUUUUUGGUGGCAGCAAGAAUCAUCUCUGUCUUUCCUCUUUCAAUACAAAAGCAAGAAUUCCUGCAAAUUGUAAAUUCCCAGACCCCAUCUCCCUUGAAGAUACUGAUUUGAGUCCAAGAAAUUGUCUCUUUAAAAAAAAAAAAAAAACAACUAGGGCCCCAGGUGAUUCUGAGACAUGCGCACAGAUCAUGCUCUGAGGAAUUCUGGAAUGAAGAAGAGCUGUUUUCACUAUUCUCACCCAUUUAUUAAGCUGCUAUCUCAGCGAUCUCUGUCUAAGCUCAGAAAGAAACCCGUGAGGAGUUAAAAAGUCCCUCUGUGACUGAAGUGAACAUUUCACUGUGGGAAGUUUCUGGAUGCCUCAGAAGAGAUAAAGGCAAAUGCUUUGUUUCAAAAAAAAAAAAAAAAAAAAAAGAAAAGGUCUAAUUUCAUCAUCUGUUGCCUUCUCCUUCCUGUUCUCCCUCCCCCCCUUCCUCCUCCCCA
rnacentral:lncRNA from 1 species